GUGAGGGCUUCUAUGUGGCCCCCCGACUCCAUUUUAUUAGAGUUUGGCAUAAGUGACUCCAUUUUGGUUCCAGCAACUUUCACAUAAGGAAACUGAGGCUCAGAGAAGUCAAGGGACUUGCCCCCAGGUCCCACUAACACUGUGCAGUGGAGUGAUGCAAACCCCAGUUUUCCCAGUGGAUGGAGCUGCUGUGGGUGAGUGCAGGGUGCGGUGUGAACCAGAGGGGUGGUGCAGAGACCAGUGUGGGAUGUGAGAGGAUCC
rnacentral:lncRNA from 1 species